UAUUCCUCGAUAAUAAGAUUAUAGUGUAUAGAUUCCAAGAACGUUAUAACUUGUUAUGAAGUUAAUUCUUCUGCUAUGGAGUCCUUGCCUGUUGCCAGCUGCCAGCUCCACUCUCAUUCUCACUCCUUUUGCUUUCUUCCCUUCAAACCCCACCACAAAACUCACUCCCCUUUUCAUCUCUGCGACUCUAGAUUCUCCGAACGACACUGCCCAAGAGCUCAUUGCUAGAAACGAGUACAUAUAGAGAGAGCAAAUGGGGAUCAACAGUGGAGGGAAGAAGUCAAGGAAGGAGAGGCUUCUGCAGAAACCCAUGAAGAGAUGAUCGCUAGUAUGGGCCCUCAAUGGUGGGUCGUUUUGGUUUCUGGGGUUAAUGAUCAGGAGGAUACUGACAAACUCAUAGCUGGUUUGCUAGCUAGGAUUUAGGAACUUUCCCAAUGUGAAUUUUAAGGUAAACACAGACCGACAAGCCAAGGUUAGUCUCUGAGAUUGAUAUGGAAGUAAUGUUCAGAAAGACCAAAAUAAACAUGGACAAGAGUUUAAGGAUGAGCAAAAACAAGAGAUUCUUACCAAAACGUCUAUCCAAAAAUUCUUUUGAUCCCUGGAGCUUCUUACCCCGGGUUCUACUGUUCAAUUAGUAAAGGAAAUUUUGCAGAAUUUGAAGGAUGCCUUGAUAAGGUCAAUAGCAAAACAAAAAAAGGUAACUGUGGGAUUUACUAUUUGGGAAAGAGAAUUUACUAGACUUGGAUGUCAAUGAAAUUGUUGCAGAGGUAACAAGAUAUAUGUUAACUUAUCAAAACCAUUAUUAAUUGGUAAGUUUUGUCCUUGCUUUCUUAGGCUACCAGGAUAUUAAUUGUUUUUUUUCCCUAUCAAAAGGCAGUGCUUUACAUAUAAUAGUAUGUGAUGUAAUGAAGUACAUUAACUGCAUAAUACGAAUAAAGAUUAAACUUCCGAAUUAUGUGUAGUUUGCGAAUCAAUCUCCACUCAAUUCAUCUACUUGAUUAGAUUUUCUGUCAUAUUGUUCCUCUCCUAUUAGUUCUAAGCAUGACAAGUUUUACUUUGAUUAUGUUUUUGUAGUGUUGAGCUUCACUUUGAAGCUUGUCAAAGACAUAGUAGUUUUAACAAAGAGAAUGCUUUUACCACUUUUUUCCUUUUAGGAUGCAAAAGUUGUGCAUGAUUACUUGUAGCUGAAAUUGGUCACUAGAGUGAAGAAGGGGUGAUCCAUCAACUUUUUUGUUUUUAUUAAAAGCAGAUAUAUUUAUACUUAACCAUGCUUUAAUCAUUAAGUUUAGUAGAUAAAGGAAAAAAAGUGGUAGAAAUAAGGGAAAGUCUGGAUCACCUUCAUUUAAGUUCUUUAGUGAAAUUUGUUGGAUCAAAGCAUUUAUCUUUUCAGGCUGAUUGUGUGCUUCUCUCUCUUCUACUCCAACUUUUCUCCAUAUCUGAGAAGACUUUGUUAACCAUUUUUUGUCAUUAGAAGGUUCUUUUUUUAUAUUUGUGGAUAACAUUUACCAGUUUAUAAAAAUAACAAUCAUUAUUUCAAGCUAUUCUAGAGCUACAACAGGAAAUACAUGCACUUGCAUAUAUAAAUAUAUAUAUAUAUAUAUAUAUUUAGUUCAUAACAGGAAAUACAUUUAUAUAUGUAUAUGAAAUGUGUUAGUUCAUGUUGGUAAAAAGAAAGCAAGGGAAAAUUUAUGUAAAGGUAUUAGAUUAGUGCAUGUUCGUUGUGACUGAACAGUUGUAAAAAGCAUAGACCAGUAAGCAAAAUUCAUAAAUGCACCUGCCAUAGGCUAGGUGGUAGAUACUAGAUAGUGGACAAAGAUUUUAGUUCUUUCAUUCAUUUUAAUUCAGAUCUUUUAUCAAAGAUGGGUUUGGAGCAUCUCGAGCGUCAAAUUAGUGAUACAUUGCUAAAAUAUAGGCUCACUUUACCAAAAAAAUUACUUCAGUGGUGUGCCACAUUUGGCACAUGCUAAGCCAAAUUUGGCACACAAUAUAGCAUAAAGCAUAUUAUGCAUCACCAUAAAUGCUACAUUUUUUUAUUUACUUUUAUAACAUUUUUAUUAUUUUAGUAUUAUUUUUAAUAAUCACCAUUAAAUGUUAGACUUUUUACCUUAUUAUUUUAUUAUUAUCUCUAACUACCAACAAUAAAAUAAAGAAAAAUUAUUACUUUUUGUAUAUUUUCAAUAAAUAUCAAAUUAAUGAAAAAUUGUUUUUUGCAUGGUGCUAAAAAUUAUUCCAAAUAUACCACAUAUUGAUUUUUUUGUACCAAAUAUAGUACAAUAUUUACAUCUCCCAUUGGAGAUGGUCUAAUGGAGUAAUUUCCACAAAGAGAAUUCUUAGGAGCUGUUGUGAAACUAGUUUUUUCCUUACUUGGAAUCAUCUUUGGAGUUGGACCAUAAAGCCAAUGAAAAUGAUGUUAAUCAUUGAUGGCAAUUAGCACAACUAACUAAUAGAGUGCCCAUUCUCACUUCCUAUAAUAAUAGGAUGUGAGUCCAGCAAGUGGGACCUAUAGUUUUGUGAAUAUGUGAUUGUGAAGUUAUUAUCAUCACGGGUGAAGAAAGAAAUUGCUCCAUCAUGAAAUUUUAUUAGUAGUCACAAGAGUUCCAAGGAAAUGUCUUGUGCCCUCACCUUAUGCACCUAAUUUACUAUGUUUAUUAAUUUGCUUCAUGAUUGCUUAGCUAUCUUCUUGGAAAAUUUCAUGUGUAGUGCUUUACCACCAUUGAACUCUCUCAAGGUCAUAUGAAAGGUUGAGUUUUGCUUCUCUCUCUCUCUCUCUUUGAGAAAUUUUGUUAUUUUCAUGCUUGUUUAUAGACCCUAGAGAUAAAGUUUAACUGAUUAAUUAAUUGCCCAUUUGCAGAAAAACCAAUUAGAUAGUAGAUAUUUGAUCAAAACACCAAGCAAGCGUGCACCACACAAGCCAAAGCCACAAAGGUUUGCUUGCUCUUUGACUAAUGAGGUUAAUGGCAGAGAGAAUCUUUGUAAUCUUUUUAAGCAUAGCCGACCAAAGUCUUUGAAAACUUCAAUAGUUUAUAACAUAGUUAUUUAUUUCAUGUUAUUCUUUUUAGAGAGCUACCCAGUGACCCUUAUGGUUCUUUAGGACACACACACAAACACAGGUGUCUAAGCCCAUUCAAUUUUUCUCUCUUCCUUUAUUUGUUUUAAAUAAAAUAAAUGGGUGGCAAAGCAAUAGCAUUGCAUGUCUCUCUCUCAUUCUCACUCUCCUCUCACUCUCACCCUAUGGUGGUCCUAAUAUGAUCCCCUUGAAGAAGCUUUUAAGGCACACCAAUUUAAUGUGCCAGCAAUUUCAAUAAAGUUUGUCUCAUAAAAAUAUCAUCUUGAACAAUAAAUGAAAGGAAAAAUAAAAGAGGAAAUCAUUUUUUAUUUCUUGUUUCACAUGAUGGCACUCUCUA